UACGUAGGGACCAAGCGUUGUUCGGAUUUACUGGGCGUAAAGGGCGCGUAGGCGGCGUGGUAAGUCACUUGUGAAAUCUCUGAGCUUAACUCAGAACGGCCAAGUGAUACUGCUGUGCUAGAGUGCAGAAGGGGCAAUCGGAAUUCUUGGUGUAGCGGUGAAAUGCGUAGAGAUCGGCAGGAACACCCAGGGGGAAACCAGCCGACUGGGCAUCUACUGACGCUGAGGUGCGAGAGCGUGGGGAGCGAACCGG
rnacentral:rRNA from 1 species